rnacentral:rRNA from 1 species
UACGGAGGGUGCAAGCGUUAUCCGGAUUCACUGGGUUUAAAGGGAGCGCAGGCGGAUUUGUAAGUCAGUGGUGAAAGGCUUAAGCUUAACUUGGGAACUGCCAUUGAUACUAUAAGUCUUGAAUGUUGUUGAGGUUUGCGGAAUGGGUCAUGUAGCGGUGAAAUGCAUAGAUAUGACCCGGAACACCUAUUGCGAAGGCAGCAGGCUAAACAAAUAUUGACGCUGAGGCUCGAAAGCGUGGGGGAUCAAACAGG